UACGGAGGGUGCAAGCGUUAUCCGGAUUCACUGGGUUUAAAGGGUGCGUAGGUGGACAGGUAAGUCAGUGGUGAAAUCUCCAAGCUUAACUUGGAAACUGCCGUUGAUACUAUCUGUCUUGAAUAUCGUGGAGGUAAGCGGAAUAUGUCAUGUAGCGGUGAAAUGCUUAGAUAUGACAUAGAACACCGAUUGCGAAGGCAGCUUACUACACGAUCAUUGACACUGAGGCACGAAAGCGUGGGGAGCAAACAGGAUUAGAUACCCCCGUAGUCC
rnacentral:rRNA from 1 species